rnacentral:rRNA from 1 species
AUGGCCUACGGGGGGCAGCAGUGGGGAAUAUUGCACAAUGGGGGAAACCCUGAUGCAGCGACGCCGCGUGAGUGAGGAAGUAUUUCGGUAUGUAAGGCUCUAUCAGCAGGGAAGAAAAUGACGGUACCUGACUAAGAAGCCCCGGCUAACUACGUGCCAGCAGCCGCGGUAAUACGUAGGGGGCAAGCGUUAUCCGGAUUUACUGGGUGUAAAGGGAGCGUAGACGGCAUGGCAAGUCUGAUGUGAAAA